AGCACUGUUGUUUGGUAGCCAAGGAUGACUUGCCUACGUCCUCCUUCCCAAGGACGUAACCCUCCCUAGUUAGCUAGGCCGGUGGGGUCGCUUUAAGACUUAUGUUGACUCAUUUUGACUUUUUGAGUCUGAAUAAUCUGGAUCGUCGGUUAUGAUCGAGAUAGAUCCAAAUCCCAGUCCCUCGAUCAUGUAUAUAAUUGGGAAAAAAAAAAGAUUAAUUUUCCAUAACAGUACGUAUACGUACUGGUAUGUUUGUUGAAUAUCCUUUGUGUGGUUUCAUAGGCAGUCUCCUUGACUAACUUGACUGGCUCU
rnacentral:pre_miRNA from 1 species